GCUGGAGGCGCGCGAAACACAAAGAUGGUGCAGACCCAGGCCCUGCUUUGACUGGGAGAAAGAUGCAUUCAGUUGACUAAAACUUGAAUGUCAGGAGAAUUCAGUCACACCCAAAGCAGGAGGUAAUAAGACACCGAAGUGAGGACUUCACAGGCUGCUUGGGAGAAGACAAUCAUCCGUGGGCUUGGGAAAGGGAGAAAUGCCUACUGAGUUUAGGGAAUUGCUUGCUGGAAGAAAUGAUGAUGCGGGAGGCCAGAUGCGCAAGAUGGACACUCGGCUCCUCCUUCGUCCCCGCCUCUCCUCGCUUCCAGGGUAGCAGCCUCAACAAGGGAAACUAUUGUUCCAGUGGAGGCUGCGAGGAUGUCGGUGAUUUACGCGCCGAGCUGUAGCUGCAAAAGGACAAGGGCAAGUGCCGGCCCGACCUAGGUGCACCCUGCCCGCUUGUGGUGGCCUCAGGGGUAAGAAAUCAGGACCCACCCAGUGAGAGAAAUAACCCAAGCUGUCAGCAACGCGGAAAGAAAUGGGCUAGCAACCUCUUAAAGCAUCCUCACGUACUGCGGCGAUGACUCUGUGCACAGACCAAGGAAGGAGAGAGGCCGCGGAAGUCAGAGUCUCACUCUGUCAAUCUUGGCUGGAGUGCAAUGGCACAAUCUCGGCUCACUACAACCUCUGCCUCCUGGGUCCAAGUGAUUCUUCUGCCUCAGCAUCCCAAGUACCUGGGAAUACAGGUGCCCACCACCAUGACUGGCUAAUUUUUGUGUUUUUAGUAGAGAUGGGGUUAGCCAGGCUGGUCUGUAAUUCCUGACCUCAGGUGAUAUUCCUGCAUUGGCCUCCCAAAGUGCUGGGAUUACAGGCAUGAGCCACUGCACCCGGUGGACAUCAUGCUUUUGUGGUUACUUUUGCUUUGUAAUAAUUUUUGAAAUCAUAUAUUUAUAGCCCUCUAACUUUGUUCUUCAUUUUCAGUGCUGUUUUUACUAGUCUAGGCCCUUUGUAUUUCUCUGUGACUUUUACAAUCAACUUACCAAUUUCUACAAAAAAGGCUUCUGGAAUUUUUUUUUUUUAAUUAUACUUUAACUUUUAGGGUACAUGUGCACAUUGUGCAGGUUAGUUACAUAUGUAUACAUGCACCAUGCUGGUGCGCUGCACCCACUAACUCGUCAUCUAGCAUUAGGUUGUUGAAUUUCGUCAAAGGCCUUUUCUGCAUCUAUUGAGAUAAUCAUGUGGUUUUUGUCUUUGGCUCUGUUUAUAUGCUGGAUUACCUUUAUUGAUUUGCGUAUAUUGAACCAGCCUUGCCUCCCAGGGAUGAAGCCCACCUGAUCAUGGUGGAUCAGCUUUUUGAUGUGCUGCUGGAUUCGUUUUGCCAGUAUUUUAUUGAGGAUUUUUGCAUCAAUGUUCAUCAAGGAUAUUGGUCUAAAAUUCUCUUUUUUUGUUGUGUCUCUGCCUGGCUUUGGUAUCAGGAUGAUGCUGGCCUCAUAAAAUGAGUUAGGGAGGAUUCCCUCUUUUCUAUUGAUUGGAAUAGUUUCAGAAGGAAUGGUACCAGUUCUUCCUUGUACCUCUGGUAGAAUUUGGCUGUGAAUCCAUCUGGUCCUGGACUGUUUUUGGUUGGUAAGCUAUUGAUUAUUGCCACAAUUUCAGAUCCUGUUAUUGGUCUAUUCAGAGAUUCAACUUCUUCCUGGUUUAGUCUUGGGAGAGCGUAUGUGUCGAGGAAUUUAUACAUUUCUUCUAGAUUUUCUAGUUUAUUUGUGUAGAGGUUUCUAUAGUAUUCUCUGAUGGUAGUUUGUAUUUCUGUGGGAUCGGUGGUGAUAUCCCCUUUAUCAUUUUUUAUUGCGUCUAUUUGAUUCUUCUCUCUUUUUUUCUUUCUUAGUCUUGCUAGCGGUCUAUCAAUUUUGAUGAUCCUUUCAAAAAACCAGCUCCUGGAUGCAUUAAUUUUUUGAAGGGUUUUUUGUGUCUCUAUUUCCUUCAGUUCUGCUCUGAUUUUAGAUAUUUCUUGCCUUCUGCUAGCUUUUGAAUGUGUUUGCUCUUGCUUUUCUAGUUCUUUUAAUUGUGAUGUUAGGGUGUCAAUUUUGGAUCUUUCCUGCUUUCUCUUGUGGGCAUUUAGUGCUAUAAAUUUCCCUCUGCACACUGCUUUGAAUGUGUCCGAGAGAUUCUUGUAUGUUGUGUGUUUGUUCUCGCUGGUUUCAAAGAAUAUCUUUUUUCUGCCUUCAUUUCGUUAUGUACCCAGUAGUCAUUCAGGAGCAGGUUGUUCAGUUUCCAUGUAGUUGAGCGGUUUAGAGUGAGUUUCUUAAUCCCGAGUUCUAGUUUGAUUGCACUGUGGUCUGAGAGAUAGUUUGUUAUAAUUUCUGUUCUUUUACAUUUGCUGAGGAGAGCUUUACUUCCAAGUAUGUGGUCAAUUUUGGAAUAGGUGUGGUGUGGUGCUCAAAAAAAUGUAUAUUCUGUUGAUUUCGGGUGCAGAGUUCUGUAGAUGUCUAUUAGGUCCACUUGGUGCAGAGCUGAGUUUAAUUCCUGGGUAUCCUUGUUGACUUUCUGUCUCAUUGAUCUGUCUAAUGUUGACAGUGGGGUGUUAAAGUCUCCCAUUAUUAAUGUGUGGGAGUCUAAGUCUCUUUGUAGGUCACUCAGGACUUGCUUUAUGAAUCUUGGUGCUCCUGUAUUGGGUGCAUAUAUAUUUAGGAUAGUUAGCUCUUCUUGUUGAAUUGAUCCCUUUACCAUUAUGUAAUGGCCUUCUUUGUCUCUUUUGAUCUUUGUUGGUUUAAAGUCUGUUUUAUUAGACUAGGAUUGCAACCCCUGCCUUUUUUGUUUUUCAUUUUUUUGGUAGAUCUUCCUCCAUCCUUUUAUUUUGAGCCUAUGUGUGUCUCUGCACGUGAGAUGGGUGUCCUGAAUACAGCACACUGAUGGGUCUUGACUCUUUAUCCAAUUUGCCAGUCUGUGUCUUUUAAUUGGAGCAUUUAGUCCAUUUACAUUUAAAGUUAAUAUUGUUAUGUGUGAAUUUGAUCCUGUCAUUAUGAUGUUAGCUGGUUAUUUUGCUCGUUAGUUGAUGCAGUUUCUUCCUAGUCGCGAUGGUCUUUACAUUUUGGCAUGAUUUUGCAGCAGCUGGUACCGGUUGUUCCUUUCCAUGUUUAGCGCUUCCUUCAGGAGCUCUUUUAGGGCAGGCCUGGUGGUGACAAAAUCUCUCAGCAUUUGCUUGUCUGUAAAGUAUUUUAUUUCUUCUUUGCUUAUGAAGCUUAGUUUGGCUGGAUAUGAAAUUCUAGGUUGAAAAUUCUUUUCUUUAAGAAUGUUGAAUAUUGGCCCCCACUCUCUUCUGGCUUGUAGGGUUUCUGCUGAGAGAUCCGCUGUUAGUCUGAUGGCCUUCCCUUUGAGGGUAACCUGACCUUUCUCUCUGGCUGCCCUUAACAUUUUUUCCUUCAUUUCAACUUUGGUGAAUCUGACAAUUAUGUGUCUUGGAGUUGCUCUUCUUGAGGAGUAUCUUCGUGGUGUUCUCUGUAUUUCCUGAAUCUGAACAUUGGUCUGCGUUGCUAGACUGGGGAAGUUCUCCUGGAUAAUAUCCUGCAGCGUGUUUUCCAACUUGGUUCCAUUCUCCCCAUCACUUUCAGGUACACCAAUCAGACGUAGAUUUGGUCUUUUCACAUAGUCCCAUAUUUCUUGGAGGCUUUGUUCAUUUCUUUUUAUUCUUUUUUCUCUAAACUUCCCUUCUCACUUCAUUUCAUUCAUUUCGUCUUCCAUCGCUGAUACCCUUUCUUCCAGUUGAUCGCAUUGACUCCUGAGGCUUCUGCAUUCUUCACAUAGUUUUCGAGCCUUGGUUUUCAGCUCCAUCAGCUCCUUUAAGCACUUCUCUGUAUUGGUUAUUCUAGUUAUACAUUCUUCUAAAUUUUUUUCAAAGUUUUCAACUUCUUUGCCUUUGGUUUGAAUGUCCUCCCGUAGCUCAGAGUAAUUUGAUGGUCUGAAGCCUUCUUCUCUCAGCUCGUCAAAGUCAUUCUCCAUCCAGCUUUGUUCCGUUGCUGGUGAGGAACUGCGUUCCUUUGGAGGAGGAGAGGCACUCUUCUUUUUAGAGUUUCCAGUUUUUCUGUUCUGUUUUUUCCCCAUCUUUGUGGUUUUAUCUUCUUUUGGUCUUUGAUGAUGGUGAUGUACAGAUGGGUUUUUGGUGUGGAUGUCCUUCCUGUUUGUUAGUUUUCCUUCUAACAGACAGGACCCUCAGCUGCAGGUCUGUUGGAGUACCCAGCCGUGUGAGGUGUCAGUGUGCCCCUGCUGGGGGGUGCCUCCCAGUUAGGCUGCUCGGGGGUCAGGGGUCAGGGACCUACUUGAGGAGGCAGUCUUCCCAUUCUCAGAUCUCCAGCUGCGUACUGGGAGAACCACUGCUCUCUUCAAAGCUGUCAGACAGGGACAUUUAAGUCUGCAGAGGUUACUGCUGUCUUUUUGUUUGUCUAUGCCCUGUCCCCAGAGGUAGAGCCUACAGAGGCAGGCAGGCCUCCUUGAGCUGUGGUGGGCUCCACCCAGUUCGAGCUUCCCAGCUGCUUAGUUUACCUAAUCAAGCCUGGGCAAUGGCGGGCGCCCCUCCCCCAGCCUGGCUGCAGCCUUGCAGUUUGAUCUCAGACUGCUGUGCUAGCAAUCAGCGAGACUCUGUGGGCGUAGGACCCUCCGAGCCAGGUGUGGGAUAUAUCUCGUGGUGCUCCGUUUUUUAAGCCCGUCGGAAAAGCGCAGUAUUCGGGUGGGAGUGACCUGAUUUUCCAGGUGCUGUCUGUAAGCCCUUUCUUUUACUCGGAAAAGGAACUCCCUGACCCCUUGCGCUUCCCGAGUGAGGCAAUGCCUCGCCCUGCUUCGGCUCGCUCAGGGUGCGUGCACCCACUGACCUGUGCCCACUGUCUGGCAUUCCCUAGUGAGAUGAGCCCGGUACCUCAGAUGGAAAUGCAGAAAUCACUCGUCUUCUGCAUCGCUCACGCUGGGAGCUGUAGACUGGAGCUGUUCCUAUUUGGCCAUCUUGGCUCCUGCGGCUUCUGGAAUUUUUAAUGCAAUUGCAUUGAAUCUGUAAAUCAAUUUGGCAGAGAACUGACGCUUUAAUUAUAUUGAAUCAUUUGACUCAUAUGAGAUAUAAUUCUCCCUUUUAAAUUUUUUCUCAAUAGUGUUUUGUUGUUUCUUUCAGGGUUACUUGUCUUUUAUCUCUGCUUUUAAGAUUUUCUUUUUGUUACUGGUUUUAAGCAAUUUGGUUAUGAUGUGCCUGUGUGUAAUUUUCUUCAUGUUCCUUAUGCUUGAGUUUCAUUUAACAUUUUGAAUCUGUAGGAUAUAAUUUUCAUUAAAUAUAGAAAAAGUUUAGCCUUCAUUUCUUCAAAUAUUUUUUCUUUUCUCUCCAGUGUCAAGGAUUCCGGUUAUAGUUAGACCAUUUGAGGUUGUCACCCAAUUCAAUGAUGUUUUUAAAUUUUUAUUUUUAAUUAUUUUUUCCUAUUGUAUUUUGUGCAUUUCUAUUGCUGUGUCUUCAGAUUUACUAUUCUUUCCUACCACAGUGCCUGUUCUACUGUGUGUUAGUUCUCACACUGCUAAUAAAAACACACCCGAGACUGGGUAAUUUAUAAAGGCAAGAAAUUUAAUUCACUCACAGUUCAAUAUGGCUGAGGAGUCUUAAGGAAACUUACAAGCAUGGUGGAAGGGGAAACAAACACAUCCUUCUUCACAUGGUGUCAGCAAGAAGUGCUUUUUUACUCCAAAGGGGGAAAGACCCUUAGAAAGCCAUCAGAUCUCCUGAGAACUCACUAUCAUGAGAACAUGAUGGUGUAACUGCCCCCAUGAUUUAAGUACUUCCUACCAAUACUUGAAUAUUUUUUCUUCCUUCCCAGGACAUGUGGGGAUUUGGGGAACCACAAUUCAAAAUAAGAUUUGGGUGCAGAUACAGCCAAAGCAUAUCAUACUGUUAAUUCCAUUUGUUGUAUUUUUUACUCCAAGCAUUGUUGUAUUUGUGUCUGGAAGUUUGAUUUGGAUCUUCCUUGUAUUCUUCAUGUCUCUUAGCUUUCUGAUCGUGGGUAUACAGUUUUCUUAGUUGUUUUCAUGUCUGUGUCUGCUAGUGAUAACACUUGUGAGUCAGUUUUGAUUGAAUGGUUUUUUCUCCUCAUAUGGGUCCUGUCUUCUUGCCUCUUUGCAUAUCUAUUAAGUAUACUCAUAAGUAGAAGGAAUGAACAAAUUCUUUUGAAACUAUAAAGUAUAACAAUUCAAUCAAAAUGGAAUAGACAAAAUGAAUAGUCCUAUAGCCAGUAAAGAAGCUGAAUUAGUAAUUGAAAAGCUCUAGGAAGGAAAUGUCUAGGUGCAGAUAUUUUCACUGGAGAAUUCCUCAAAACCUUUAAAAAAGACUUACCAUCAACUUCACACAGUUGUUUCCAGAAAAUAAUUGAGAAUGGGACACAACCCAAUAUGAGGUUAGGAAUAUCUGUAUCUCAACACCAGAAAAAAAGUACAAUAAAAAAAAUACAGCUCAAUACCCCUCAUGAAUGUAGACACAAAAAUCUUUUUAAAAAUUUGCAAAUUGAUAACAGCAGUAUAUGAAGAAGAGUAAUACAUCACAACCCAGUUCAGGUUACUCCAGGAAUGUAAAUCUGGUUCAGCAUUCUAAAAUCAAGCAAUGUAAUCAAACUUAUCAACAGAAUAAAGAAAAAUCAUACAUACAUACACACAUACAUACAUACAGUCAAAUCAGUUGAUGCAGGAACACCAUUUAACUAAACCCAACACCCAUUUAUGACAAAAAGUUUGAGCAGGUUCACAUAGAGGGGAAAUAACCAUAGGUUGUUUAAAAAGAAUCUACAAAAAACCUGUAGCCAACAUCAUUCUUAAUGGUGUAAGAUUGAAUGCCUCCUCUGUCACAUUGGGGAAAAGGCAAGGAUGUUUCCUGUUACUAUUUUUAUUCAGUUGGCAGUUCUAGACUGUAAUGCAAGGGAAGAAAAUAAACAACAUACAUAUUAGAAAAGAAAUAAAAAGGCCUAGUAGCCUGGCAUGCUGGAAUGCGCCUGUAGUCCCAGCUACUCAGGGAGGCUGAGGCAGGAGAAUCACUUGAACCUGGGAGACGGAGGUUUCAGUGAGCCAAGACUGCACCACCACACUCCAGCCUGGGCAUCAGAGGAAGACCCUGUCUUAAAAAAAAAAAGAAAAUUAGUAAAAUUGUCUCAUUUUGCAGGUGUCAUAAUUGUGUAUGUGUUGAAAAUCCUAAGGGAGCUAUAGAAAACAUCCUAUAACUAGUAAGUGAGUUCAGCAAAGUGUCAAGUUGUAGGAUCAAUGCAUAAAUACUAACCUCAUUUUUAUUUAACAGUGAACAUAUGGGCACAGAAAUUAAAAAUGCAGUACUCUUACAGUCAUUCCUAUGAAAAUGAAUCCUUACUUAUGCUGAAACUUGGAAUUUGUUGAUAAAAGUAAUCUAAGAAUACAUAAGUAAAUAGACCCACUGUCUAUUUGGAUUGGAACAUCCUACAUUCCAGUUUUCUCAAAAUUGUUCUGUAGGAUGAAUACUAUUCCUAUCAAUAUCUCAGGUUUUUAAAAGACAUAAGUAAUCUUAUUCUAAAACAAAUGUGAAAAGUCACACACAGGCAGUAGAAUAGAUAAGCCAACUUUGACAAGGAAAGUAAGUGGGAGGAAACACUUCUUGAUGUUAAGGAAUAUUGCAUAGCUACAUUAAUCAACAUAGUAUGGAAGAAUGAUAGAGACAAAGGUUAAUAAAACAUUUUAGAGAACCCAAAAUUAGACAAAGGUACGAAAACAACUAAAUAGAGAAAAGGUAGCCUUUUCAAAUGGGGCUGGGCACUUAUGGGUGAGUAAAGAUCAUGGACUUAAUGUGAAAUGUAAAACUUUUAGAAAAAAAGAAGAAAAUAUUUAGAAUCUAGGGUUAGGAAAAUAUUUCUUAGACUUGACACCAAAAGAACAAUGUAUAAAAAAAUUUAUACACUGUACCUCAUUAAAAGUAAAAAUGUUUACUUUGCAAAAAAAAGUGAAUACAAUGAAACACGAGCUAUAGAUUGGGAGAAAAUAUCUGUAAACUGUAUAACUGACAAAGAUUUUUCAUCUAUGAUAUAUAAAAACUCAUAAAAUUUAACAGUAAAAAAUUCAAAUUAGAAAAUGAGCAAAAGACUUAAAGAGACAUUUUGGCAAAGAUUUACAGAUAGAAAAUAAUCAUGAAAAUAAAUUCAACAUUCAUUAAUCAUCAGGAAAUGCAAAUUAAAACUGAAAUAUCAGUAUGUGUAUGUCAGAACAGCUAAAAUGAAAGGAUGGUGACAGCAGUUGUUGUAAACAAUGUUAAGUGGAUCACUUGUACAUUUCUGGUGGAAAUACAAAUAAUACAGUUAUUCUGGAAAAUCUCUUGAUAGUUUAAAAAAAAAAAGAAAACUGUGUAACUAUCCUACUACCCAGUAGUUGCACCCUUGGACCUUUAUCACAGAUAAAUUUAUAUUGAUACAGAAAACCUGUGUCAAUUUCAUAAAGUCCAGAUAUACCAAAUGAGUAACUAGUCAGAGAAGCAGCUGUGUUUCUACACCAUAGCAUGCACAUGCGCAUGUGGUGUUAGGAAAAUACAGGUCUCUUUGCCCUUCUGAUGCCCUUAGUCUUGAGGUGAAGGAAGAAGCAACAGAAAGUAUCCAAUUACUGUUUGAAAUUACCUAGUUUGUUUAUGAGUGCUCUGUACAAAAUAAGAGAGAAUAAGGACAUAAAGAGUAAUGGUCUUUUAAGGCCGGAGCAUGGUAGCUCAUGUGAACCUAUAAUUCUGGUACUUUAGGAGGCCAAGGUGAGAGGAUCACAUAAAGCUAGGAAUUUGAGACCAGCCUGCACAACAUAGCCAAGAAUUUAAAGAAUUAGCCAGAUGCAGUGGCAUACAUCUGUUGUCCUUAGCUAUUCAGGAAGCUGAGGCAGGAGGAUUGCUUGGGCCCAGGAGUUCAAGGCUGCAUUGAGCCAUGGUCACAUUACUACACUCCAACCUGGGUAAAAGAACAGGAAUCUGCCUCUAAAACUAUUAUGAAUAAAUUUCAACAAAAUAAGUGCAAAAUUUGCAUUUUAAAAACUACCAAAUAUUGCUGAAACAUAUUAAAGAGACCAAAGUAUAUGGAAAGACAGUCCAUGAUCAUAGUUCAAAUUAUAUGUUGUUCAAAAGGCCGUGUACCCUAAAUUGAUCUAUAGAUUAAGUGUUACCAUUCUCAAAUCCCAGUUAAAGUCUUUGCAGAAAUUGACAAACUGCCUCUAAAAUUCAUAUGGACAUUGAAGCGCCCCAGAAUAGCCAAAACAGUUUUGAAAAAGAUGGGCAAAUUUUGAAUACUCACACUUCAUUUGAAAAUUUAAUACAGAUUUACAGUAAUCAAGACUGUAGAGCUAGCAUUGAGUUCACAGUGGAGAGUCCAUAAAUAAAGUCUGAAAUUUAUGGUUAAUUGAAUUUUGACAAUAAUGCCCAGAAAAUUGACUGAGGUAGGAGUGUGUUUGGGCGGGUGCUUUUUAGCCCCAUGCUAUUUGUGAAAAUGCAUCCAUGUUUUGUGUAGUUGUUACCCACCCAUUUUGUAAUGCCGUAUGACUUUUAUCCAUUUUACUGUUGAUGGAUAUUUGGGUUACAUCUAAGUUUUAUCUAGUAUGAAUGAUACUUUUGUGUCAUAUUUGACUAUAUCUCUUGGUGUACACAUCUACCUGUUGCAGGAGCUGCUGUGUUUUGGGUCAUGCAGUUCCGCUCUAGUAAACCCUUCACAUGAUUUUGCCAAAUGAUAUAUUAAGUUAUACUCCAGUCAGGCAGUGCCUUCACUUGCAUUUUCAGCCUUUUUUGCCAACAUUUGCAUUUUCAGCCUUUUAAACUUAGCAUUUAUGAUAAAUAUGUAGAAGUGGUUUUAAUGCAUCUUUCUACAGAGUCUAAUAACAUUGUGUACUUUUUCAUAUGCUUUCAUAUAUGCCUUUAUUUUUUGUGACAAGCCUGUCAAAAUUUCUUGGCAUUUUUCUUCUAAGAUAUCCCUUCUUCUCAUCAGUUUUUGGCCUUUAUGCAUUCUGGAUUGGAGUUCUUUGUUAAGUUAUAUAUGCGUUGCAGAUAUCUUCCUCUUCUUUCCUGCAGGCUGUGUUAAACAGAAAUUCUUAAAUUUAGUAAAGUCUGCUUUAUUAAUCUUUUCGUUCAAGAUUAGUUUUUUAGGAAAAUUUUUGUUGAUGAUAGUGGUGUUGAUUAAGCAAUCCUUCACUACCAAAAAGUUAUGAAACUAUUCUUGUAAUGUUUGAUGAGCGAUGACAAUUCAAUGAGGAAAGAUGAUUUUUUUCUUUUAGGCAUUUUAGUGUUCUUUCACAUUUAGAACUGUAAUUCUAAAUAGGUUUUGUGUUCAUAUUGAAGUCAAGAUCAGGUAUCAUCUCCCCUCAUUCCCUGACAGUACUCAGUUUUUUCAGCACUAUUGAUUUAAAGGAUGAUUAUCUCUUUAAUGAUAAUAAGGAGACUACAUAAAUAGUGUCCAUAUAUAUGUGGACCUACUUUUGGACAUCUAGUUUUGCAUUGGUGUAGCCAUCUGUCUUUGUGUAAUCCUAUCUUUUCUUGACUACUUUAAUCUAGUUUUAUUAGGUUAUAGAGUUAAUCUUCACAUUUCAUCAGAAGACUUUUGCAUUUCCUUGUAUACAUUAGGAGUACCUUGUCAAUUCCCACCAAAAAAAAAAAAAGAAGCUAAGAUUUUGACUGGGUUUGGAUAUAUAGACAAAUUUAUGAGCAUUUGACCUACUUUCAGUAAUGUACAUUCUAAUUUCUGAACUCAAUAUAUUCUAUUUAGGUUUUAUUUCUCUCAAUAUUUUAUAGUUUUUUUGUGUAGAGAUCUUACACAUUUUUGUUAGUUUUAUUCUAGUGUUAGUUUUUUUCUUAGCGUUAGAAAGAAACAGCACUAUCUGACAACAUAGCUUCCUUCAGCUUUAACAUUUGAGUUUAUUACUUGUUCACUGACAAUCCAUUUAUUUACCAUGGAUAGUUAAGUCUUUAUUAAGUUCAAAAACUAUACAUAAUUCAUGACAUUGUGUGAAGUAUUCUAAAUAUAUUUUUUUCUUUAGGCUAAUUUAGCUUUCCCAACUGAUAGAACUGUUAGUGAUAUUGAUUAAAUGUAUGAAUAGUGACUUGUAAAAGUUUUAAAUGCCGUAAAUAUCUUUCAGUUUUUCUGUGUCAUGAAAGAAUAUCUCCUUAAAUUUGCAGGAUUUUUUGUUUGCUUGCUUAUUCAGUUGUAGAUUUAUACUUUAAUGUCCAUUACGUGUUUGGUUUAUGAUGUUCUCUGUUCUGUGUUGGACAUUGGAGGACCACUGUCGUCACUUUCCUUGGCCAUGUAGUCUAAUGGGGAGGACAUUGUUUUUUAUAAUGCAGUACCUGCUAUGUUAUACGUAUUGGUUAAGGACUAACAGAGGACACAUAAAUGGCAGUAUUUAACAUUUUUUCAUACUUGAAAUUUUUUCUUUUGAGACAAGGUCUUGCUCUGCUGCCCAGGCUGAAGUACAGUGGCAUGAACAUGGCUUACUGCAGCUUUGACCUCCCUGGCUGAAGCCAUCCUCAACCCUUAGCCUCCCAAGUAGUGGGGACCGUGGGCCUACCACUGCACCCGGCUACUUUUUAAACAUUUUGUGGAAGUGGAGUUUUGCCAUGUUGCCUGGGCUGGUCUCAAACUCCUGGGCUCAAGUAAUCAUCCCACGUUGGCCUUCCAAAGUGCUGAGAUUACCAGCAUGAGCCACCAUGCCUGGCUGACAUGAAACACUUUUAAAGUCACCACUAAAUGCUCACUAAUGGUAAAAAAAUCUUAGCAUUUUAACUAAAAUGUGAAUUAAAAUAUCAAUUUUUAUAUACAAAUUAUAAGUGUUAGUUACUUCAACAAUUUUUUUUUUUUUUUUUUUUUUUGAGACAGAGUCUCGCUCUCUUGCCCAGGGUAGAGGGCAAUGUUAUCUUGGCUCAUUGCAACUUCUCCCUUCCGGGUUCAAGUGAUUCUCCUGCUUCAGCCCCCCAAGUAGCUGGGAUUACUGCCCUGUGCCACCACAUCUGGCUAAUUUUUGUCUUUUUAGUAGAGACAGUGUUUCACCAUGUUGGCCAGGCUGGUCUAGAACUCCUGACCUCAGGUGAUCCACCCGCCUUGGUCUCCCAAAGUGCAUGAGCUAUCAUGUCUUGCUGCAAAAUUUUAAUUGUAACAUUAUUUUAGUUGUUUCUAUAGCUAUUUCUUCUUUGGAAUGGAAUUGUGUUAAUUUAUAGACCUGCAUAUAGAUAAUUAAAUCUUUUGUAAAACUCUUUGCAGAAUCAAUUAAUUCUGUCCAACAUGGUGUUUUUUAGGACUUCAUAAAAAACUG
rnacentral:lncRNA from 1 species